rnacentral:lncRNA from 1 species
ACUUCGUCAAAGGCGACUCGGGAGGAGGGGAGCUUGGAUGCGCUCACCAUCCAUUAGGAGACAAAGAGCAAAUUGCCUUACUUUAAAGUAAAACGCUCCGGCUAAUGAAGGUGCCUGCUGCUGCCAGCCAUGCUUUCCAGGUAGGACAUGCACGGCCUCGGGGCAGGUGCACCUCUGCAGCCCGGAAGCAGGAGGCUCACCUGAAAAUGGAGAGAUAAGACGCCCUCCAGCAGGCCCGAGUGAUCCAGAGCCCUCGUCGCCGAGAUGGACCGCACCCGGGAGGCCGAGAUGGAGCUGAGAAGGGGCCCCAGCCCCACCAGGGCCAGCAGGAGCCCCGAGGCGGACGGGGACAGGGCCCUGAGUCACAGCUGCUGCAUCUGUGGCAAGAGCUUUCCCUUCCAGAGCUCCCUGUCCCAGCACAUGCGCAAGCACACGGGGGAGAAGCCCUACAAGUGCCCGUACUGCGACCACCGGGCUUCCCAGAAGGGCAACCUGAAGAUCCACAUCCGCAGCCACCGCACAGGAACCUUGAUCCAGGGCCACGAGCCCGAGGCUGGCGAGACGCGCGUGUCCGAGGGCCUGGACGGCUGCGCCAGUCCCACGAAGAGCACCUCGGCCUGCAACAGGAUCCUGAAUGGCGCCACCCAGGUGGACAACGGCAAGAUCCUGCUGAGGAGCAGCAAGAAGGAGACGGAGGGGACGGCGUGCGCCACCGAGGAGGGCAGGGCGGCGGCUUCGGUGACCGGGCAGUGCUCCUUCUGCAAGAGCAAGUUCGAGCGCAAGAAGGACCUGGAGCAGCACGUGCACCAGGCGCACAAGCCCUUCAAAUGCCGGCUGUGCAGCUAUGUGACCCUGCGGGAGGAAUCCCUGCUGAGCCACAUUGAGAAGGACCACAUCACAGCGCAGGGGCCGCGCGGUGAGGCUGAGGUGGAGAACUGCAAGCCCGAGCUGCCCCCGGGUGAGUUCCCCUGCGAGGUGUGCGGCCAGGCCUUCAGCCAGACCUGGUUCCUGAAGGCGCACAUGAAGAAGCACAGGGGCUCCUUCGACCACGGCUGCCACAUCUGCGGCCGGCGGUUCAAGGAGCCUUGGUUCCUGAAGAACCACAUGAAGGCGCAUGGCCCGAAGGCGGGGAGCAAGAACAAGCCGCGGAGCGAGCUGGACCCCGUCGCCACCAUCAACGAUGUGGUGCAGGAGGAGGUGAUCGUGGCCGGCCUGUCCCUCUACGAAGUCUGCACCAAGUGCGGGAACCUGUUUACAAACCUGGACAGCUUGAACGCGCACAACGCCAUCCACCGACGGGUGGAGGCCGGCCGGCCGCGCGCCCCGGCCUCGGAGAGCGCCCCCGACUCCCAGCAGCUCUUCCUUCAGUGCCUGAACCUGCGCCCGGCGACCGGCGCGCCCGCCCGCGGGCAGGCCGGGCGGCGCGUGGCCGAGCUGGACCCGGUCAACAGCUACCAGGCCUGGCAGCUGGCCACCAGAGGCAAGGUGGCCGAGCCGGCCGAGUACCUCAAGUACGCGGCGUGGGACGAAGCGCUGGCAGGGGACGUGGCCUUCGACAAGGAGCGGCGUGAGUUCAUCCUGGUGAGCCAGGAGAAACGCAAGCGUGAGCCUGAGCCCGGCGCGCCGGGACCCCCGCGCAAGAGGGCGGGAGCGCCCGGGGACCCUGCGCCUGGGCCCCUGGACCCCCGGCCGGCCGCGCGUGCCAGCCGCCGAGCAGCUGCCCCUGCCGGCCACAGCAAGUCGUCCGAGUGUUUCGAGUGCGGCAAGAUCUUCCGCACCUACCACCAGAUGGUGCUGCACUCGCGCGUGCACCGGCGCGCGCGCCGCCACCGCGAAGGCCCUGGGGAGCGCGUGCCCCGCGCCCGCUGCGGUUCUCUCAGCGAGGGCGACUCGGCCUCACAGCCCAGCAGCCCUGGCUCAGCCUGCGCCGCUGUCGACUCCCCGGGCUCCGGCCUGGCGGAUGAGGCCGCCGAUGAAAGCGGAGAGGAGGGCACAGCCCACUCUGCACCAGGGGCAAAGCCACACCGCUGCUGCUUUUCUGAAGAAGUAGCACCGACCAGGCUCUCCAAUGGAGACCAAAGUCACACACUUGGAAAUCACCCAUCUGGAAGAGACUCCGGGGAGCCCAGCAUGGGGAUCACUGCUUCCACAUCCGUACUUGAAAAUGGUAGCAGAGAGACUUCCAAGAGACCAGAGCAGCCUAGGUUUUCCAUGGACUUAAAGAUGCCAGCAUUUCACCCCAAGCAAGAGGUCCCGGGCUCCAGGGACUCUGCAGACCUCCCUUCGAAGCCUGAUCAGACUUUUCUGGAACGGGCAGAUCUGCAGCUCUUGUCAGAAAGCCAGGCCACCUACCCGAAGGAGAAGCUGUCCGAUUUGCACAACAAGGAACAUUCCGGGGGAGGGAAAAGGGUGCUGGCCCCAGACCUGAUCCCACUGGACCUGAGUGAGAGGUCGACGCGGGCUGACCCCAGCCAUAAGGAGCUGGCCUCCUCGCUGCAAGCGGCCUUGGCCGUCCACCCGUGUCCUUACUGCAGCCAUAAGACCUACUAUCCCGAGGUCCUCUGGAUGCACAAGCGCCUCUGGCACAGGGUCAGCUGCAGCUCCAUGGCGCCCCAGUGGAUCCAGCCCAACGGCUACAAGAGCAUCAGAAACAACUUGGUUUUCCUCGCCCGGAGUGGACGCACGGGGCCCCCGCCCGCCCUCGGCGGCAAGGAGUGUCAGCCCCUGCCCAUCUCUCGGUUCACCCGCACUCAGGUGCCAGGUGGGGCGCCGGGGACCAAAGGCAGCCCCUCACCCCUGGGCAUGACCGUGAAAGCUGCCAGCUUGCCCAGGAACAAGGACAGCCAUCCCGGGGGACCCUGUGGACUCUGGGCAGCUGCCCCCGAUGGGCCUCGGCCGACCAAGCCCAGCCUGGGACCUGAGCAGCAUGGGGCUCCGGCCCAGCUGCCCCCGGCCAAGCUCAAGCAGGAGGCCGGCUCCAAGCCUGGGCCCGUGGCAGGUGGGGGCAGCUUCAGCAGAAGUGCCACCCCCACACCCGUCAUCGCCCGGGCCAGCUCCCAGCCCCCGGCCAACAGCAGGCUGGGAGACAAGUACGCACACCCCCCGGUGGCAUCUGGCAUCGUCCCCCCAAGUAAGCACAGCACCCCGGACCCCCUGAAAGCCAAAUUCAGCCCUCAGCCUCAGGGUCAGCCACAAGUGAAAGGUGACGGGGGCCUCCCUCUACCUCCCCGAGAACCCCCCUCCAAGGCUGGCAACGGUGUGGGCUCCAGGGGCCACCUGGCAUCGCAGGCCUCACCGGUGCUGCCCACCAUCAAGCAGGAGCCCGUGGCUGACAGCCCUGAGAAACGCCUGGACAUCCUCAAUAUCUUUAAGACAUACAUUCCAAAGGACUUUGCUUCUCUCUACCAGAGCUGGGGGGCCAGUGGCCCUGCACUCGAGCACAGAGGGACGCUCCGGACGCAGGCCCACCAGGGAGACUUCGUCUGCGUGGAGUGUGGGAAGUGCUUUCAUCAGCCCAGCCACCUCAGGGCCCACAUGAGGGCUCACACAGUGCUGUUUGAGUCUAAUGGCCUCCGAGGUGCUGACAUCCACGGCGCAUCUGCUGACGUCCCCAAACAAGGGAGAGACCAUCCUAACGCAGAUACUGUCCAGACAGUGCCUCUCAGAAAGGGAACCUAGAGACACGCUUCCAACAACCGGUGCCCGGUGACGGCCCCCCCACCGUGGGUGUCCCCACAGUCUCCCUGCCGUGACCCUGCCCGCCCCGCGGAAGAACUCCUGGCGGACACCCUGAAUCCUAGAGCCUCGGGGCGAGGGCAGAAGCUGAAGAGAGAGCCUCUCCUUGUCAUGCGUUUAAAAAUCAAGCAGAUGCUCUGCUCGAAUUACAUGCAGGUCCUCCUCGUGCGCACGUGUGCUCACCCAGCACAGUCCGUAUUUUCCUACAGUCAGCGGUCGUGUCGGCAGGCGCAGGAGGAGCUCACGCAUCUGUCUUGUUCAAGACGAGUUUGAGACACUGGAAGAAAGAUCCUCGUGUGCGUGGGACACAACGAAGCUGCCAGGCACUGUCACAGAAGCUGCAAUGCUCAGAGGACUUGGGGGGACGUCAGAGCAAAGGGGGGCGAGGUUUGCAGCAUGAGUGUGACGGCCCCUCCUUGUCUCAGUGGGUAUUUAAAUAGUGAAUAAGAGAGGGAGGAUGGGUGUGCGGGUGGUGUGGAAACAGGCUCCAUGGAGGCGGGCGGUGACUGGACCCUCCCUGGCAGGGGGGCCCAUGUGCUGAGCCCCGCUCCGUUGUGCUCAGUGAACCCGGCAGAGGUCACACGUCCACAGCAAGGCUUGUGUCCUGCUUCGGAAAAGAGAGCUAGUUGAACACUAAGAAAAGCAGGCUUCUUUGUUUAUUCUCAGGACCUUUUGGUAACAGGGCUGCACUCUGCAAACUGCUCACCACGGAAGACUGCCCGUCUUAACAAAUUAUCUAGCCACUGAACCCCUGAUUGGGACCCUUGUAGUCACAGCAGGAGAAUCCCUGAGCAGAUUGGGGGCUCAGGUCACCAGGGUCUGAGUGCUCUGGGAUUCCUCGUGCUCCCCUUCCCUGCCUCCCUGUCCAUCCGUCCCAGCAAGUAGGUGUCUUUUCUUCUUGGGCCUGGGGGCCUCCGCUGGACGAGUCCCCUCGUUCCCAGGGUGUGGAGGCCCCCAGGCCUGUGGUUGGGGCGGCUUGAUAUACCUCUUCCUCAGAUGCAAGUUUUAGUGGUGGGGUUAAGGCCCGUCACAAGGGACCUUAAACCUUGCAGUGUACGCAAAGUUGUAUUCCACAGAUAUAAAUAUUUUCUUUUCCUUUUACCGUGACACUAUGUGUGAUGGUAAUAUUUCUGAAAGUUUCAGAUUUUUGCACAUAAUGAUUUUAUGCAUUAUCAAAAGUUACUGCUGCCUUGAAUGAAAAUGUUCUGUGAAAUUUUUUGCAAAAGCUUUACUAGGUUUUUUUUUAAUUGUGACAUUUUGUAAAGGCAGGAAAUGGAUUAAAAUAAGCAUGCUAAAUAUAUUUUUCAAAAAAGCAAUAAUUUUACAUGUAUAGAAAUUAUCCUAACCUUUAAUACUGGUGAGAGCGACAGUUUACUUAAUACAGUAAUGGAUUAGUGCAGUUUUUGUAGAAAAUGGGCUUCUGAUACAAAGACUUGUUUAAACACACACACACACACACACACACACACACACACACACACCCACCCCUGAAGUGUGGUUUUCCUGUUCUAAUGAUUUGUUGAGUUUUAUUAUUAUUAUUAUUAUUGUUGUUGUUGUUGUUGUUCUUAGUUACUGUUUGGUUUCUGGAUUCUACUUGUUACUGAAUUUAAAUUACUUGACGGUUCAGGUUACCUUGCAACAUUUGCAAACAAUGCAAUGUAACUGGCUAGCUUCUAUAUAUAUAUAUUAUAUACAUGUAUACACACACACAUGUAGACACAGAGAUAUGUGCGUGUGUGUGUAUAUAUAUAAUUUUUUUACUUAUUUUUUCCUGCUUCUCUUUUGCUGGAUAUGUUCCAGAACGAUCUGUCCUGUUGGUGUGUUCCGAGGGUCUGUGCAGAUGCUCCUCAGCCACUGUCCUUGACUGUUCUGUAAAGUUACUUUGAGCAAAGUUGCAGACACAUUCCCCUGCUCACCUUCAAAAUCAAAAUGCCACUCUGUUGACUUCCGUUUGAUCCUGUCUCUGGCCUCCCCACGGUGGUCAUUUCUGCAUUUUCUUGGCUGAAAGUGAAGGGUGACAGUUCAGGAGCGCACAGGGGCUAGAGCUGCGGGCUGUCUGUUUCUCUGCAUUUUAGUUAUUAAAAGGAACUCUGGACCCAAAGUGACACAGAUGAGUCAUGUACCUUCUUGCUGUUUCAGAAGCAGCCUGUGGAGUCACAGUGUCACCCCGGGGGCUCCUUUGCAGGGGCCUGGGGGAGAGAGGGGGCACAUCCCCAGGGAAAACCGUGUGCUGCCAGGAGCACAGAUGGAAGGUUUUCACUUAAUUCAGCAGGCAGGGAAGGGACCCCAGAGAAUGCCACCCUCUGAGAGAAGCCCUUUGCGGGAGACUGUGGCCCCUCCCUCUUUCACUGCCCAUCAGUAUUUUAUUGGUUUGUUAAUGCAUUUAUGUCAGUUCAACCAUAGUAUUUAAUAUGAUUUGUGUUUUCUUAUUUAUUUAGCUGAUAUGUCUUGAUUCGCUUUUUUUUCGAAUGAUAAUUUCCGCAUGGUCUCUCCUGUAAGUCACCUUCUGACUGUUACAGACUUUCUACCUCUACCAAUCUGCUGUUUCCUUGUUUCUUAACAGGAUUUCACAGUGUUGGCGUCCAGUGUAACUUAGACAAUAAAGGGUUUG